rnacentral:rRNA from 1 species
UACGGGGGGGGCAAGCGUUGUUCGGAAUUACUGGGCGUAAAGGGCUCGUAGGUGGCCAACUAAGUCAGACGUGAAAUCCCUCAGCUUAACUGGGGAACUGCGUCUGAUACUGGAUGGCUUGAGUUUGGGAGAGGGAUGCGGAAUUCCAGGUGUAGCGGUGGAAUGCGUAGAUAUCUGGAGGAACACCGGUGGCGAAGGCGGCAUCCUGGACCAACACUGACACUGAUGAGCGAAAGCCAGGGGAGCAAACGGG